GCCUGGCUGGCUCAGUGGGUAGAGCAUGAGACUCUUGAUCUCCAGGUUGUGAGUUUGAGCCCCACAUUGAGCA
rnacentral:tRNA from 1 species